CAUACAAACAGAGAUAGCCCGCGUGCAUGUGGCGGACAUGCUCGUCGAUUUGAAGCUGAUAAGAUAAUAACUGAGGGUUACCAAAACUGCAGAUAUAUAUCUAUGUCAGUGUUAUGAAAAGUUUGUAUAGUUACACUAAAUUAACAGCCAUUAUAUGAUGUUAGCCUUUACUAAGAGUAUAUAAACUGUAUAAAUGUCUGGUGCUAUUGGACUAUUGCAUCCUAGCAUGAAGACCUCUUCAGAAGGACAUAUACUCUAUCAGCUUUGGAGGAAGUUCAACACCGGGCGACAAAAAUCAUCUUAGGAGGAACGUUUGAGGGGACUCAAGGCUAACAACACUGCCAACCAAACAUGACAGAGUUGAUCUCAUGGAAACCUUAGAUAAACUUACAGCUACUUGAUUUAUACUUUGUAAUUCUUAAUAUAGACUAGGGUAGCAGCACACAACGGUUUCAAGCUCAACAAGCCACACACUCUAGGAUUGAAAACAGAUGCUUUUCACCCAUUGGCUUAUAAACCCAUGGAACCGCCUACCCGUCGAAGACGUAAAUGGCAAAAUACUGUUGCAAUUUAAGAUUCCAGCUUGAUAAAAUCACAAAAUUUAAAUUUAAAUCAUAAGGAAAAACGAGGAAGAAAUAGAAAAUAUGAAAACGAAAAGAUAGGCAGUUGAAUUGGGCUGUCGCCUCCCUCCUUACUGUUCAUAAUCUAUACGUCACCAGUCACCUCCCAGCUGCCGGCCCGUCACCACCCGGUCACUCACUACCCGGCCCCGUCACCACCCGGUCACUCACUACCCGGCCCCGUCACCACCCGGCCAUUACCCAGGUGGAGCCACCAUGGAACAUGAUGGAGUCACCAUCUCAACACUACCACUAGCAGACACACGAGCCAGCCAGGAGAACAGAAGACCAUCAACGGCCAUUGCGUACACACAGCGUGGAAGACUGAAGAGUGAGCCAAACAGUGUAGUAGUCAUACCACAAAUGGCACCCACACUCACCACAUACUUGGCCCAGGUUGCACCAUGAGAGGCAAAGGCAUCAGGGAGAGCAGCAGCAGGGUUGAGGGAAUAAUAAGGCACCAUGAGGGUGAGUGUAGCACCAACCAUGAUAUAGCCCACUGUCACCACACUCAUAGAUACCAGUGUGGCUUUGGGAAUGGAGCGGGCUGGAUCCUUUGUCUCUUCACCUGCAGUAGCUAUACUGUCAAAGCCAACAAAGGCAUAAAAACAAGUAGCAGCUCCAGAAAUUACUCCCGAGAUUCCAAACGGCAUGAAACCACCCUCCAAGUUCCAAUUUGCAAUGUCUGCAUAUGACAUACCUACAGCAAUGACAAAUGUUAUUACACAAAGAUUAAUGAGUGUGAAGACUGAAUUGAAGUAAGCUGAGCCCUUGACACCCAUGGUGAGAAAGCCACAGUAGACAAGUGUCACAGCAAAGGCUAGAAAGUCUGGGUAAGACGCGAGGAAGCCACUAUGCAUCUCGCCUAUAUUAGCUAUUGUUGCAUUGCUUACAGCACCAUCAAAGAGGGAAUCCAAGUAGCCUGACCAUGCUCGAGCCACUGAUGCCGCACCUGUAAAAUUAUAAUUACAACUAUAUCUACACAUACAACAAAUAUUACAGAAUAUAUUUCUCACUUUUAUUUAAUACAGUACAGUAUACACACACUUCAAUACCCUGCACAUCUAUAUUGGCUUUGUUUGUUGCUUAACUUAAUCACUUUAUUAAGACUCUUGUACCUAUUCUGGGGAGGGGGGGGGGGCAGAAAGGUUGCAGUCACAGACGAUUCAGGAACUGAACCCUAAAAUAAGCCCAAAAUUGUACCCUAAAACAGAAUAAGUGACCCAAGUCCAAGUGAUUAGAAAAACAUUUCCAAACCAUGUAAUGUUUGCCCAGGUGCUCUAACCUUUUAAACAAUCCACUGGACUGUAAAUGUUAUCAGGAUUUUGCAGCAAAAUCAAUACUGUAACCUGUACUGUACAGUCGUACUAAAAUUCAGCAAUUGUGCUUCCUUCUAAACCUCACACUUACACUGCACAUCUAAUUGUGAUUUUGUUUAUACAAUUAAGAGUAUGCUGUGUAAUUUUGAAUUUUGUAAAUUGUAGUGAACAAGAUACACAUAUUGUGCAUGUGUGUAAAUCAUGAAAAUUAACAUGUGAUGAAAAAUGUGACAGUGUCAGACCACUAAGGAAGGACUGAAACAGGAAUACCCAAGGCUUCAUCUUUCUGAAGAUGUAUUAUUAAAUACGAAAGUAUUUAAUUAAGGAAAUUCACUGAGCAUAUAUUUAAGUUUAUUAAAGUUGAUUUAUAAGGCCUUUGAUACUACUACAAUAACUACUUGUUUUCUCUUACAUUCCGUUUCUUACUCCUAUUAUUACCCCACUUUAUUACACCUUACCUUCCAUACCUUUAGCCUUGCUCAUAUCUUCCUCUAAGAUUUCCAUCUCUUGUACAGUUGUACAGUUGAAUACACACUUUCUAACGGUAGGUAGUAACCGAGUGAUUGUAACCUAUCCACUGCUGCCCACUGGAUUGGGGGCAGUGUGCAGGAAAAACAUAUAAAUUGUGACACCAAGCCACUAACAUGUGGAGAGCUAAUUUAGAAACUGUACUUUUGGUCGGUCUUGAGCCCACUGUUGAUGUGAUGAUGUACAUUGAAUUUUGGAAUUAGCUCAUCAAGAUUGUAACUUGCUUAGCUAAAUGAAUUGUGGGGCCCCCAAGCCCAUUAUGUGUCUCUGUAAACCUUUCCACUACCACCCAGAGGAUGGGUAUGGUGUGCAUAAUUAAUAAAUGAAAAGAAAGUUAGUUUAGUUUAAGUCGAAAGUUUGUUUCGCUAUUUCUAGGGUUUGGUUGGUGUUUCUUAUGGUAGCUCUCACUUUUUUGUGUAAAUUUUUAAUGACUGAUGGGUUCUAACUACUAGGUCCUUUUCUUCUUCAAUCUGUCGCAUGGUUUUUAGUUUAGUUCAUUUAUUAUGCAACCCAUACCCAUCUUGUGGGCAGUAGUGGAAAGGGUUACAGAGGCACAUAAUGGGCUCAGGGACUGAACCUGCGCAUGGUAGUGAUGUUAUGAUAGUUGUGAUGUGCAUCGUGCACUGUUAUGCCUCUACACGCAAGGUCUUGCUUUUUAAGUCUUCCAACCAUUUGUCGAGUUCAUGUGUAUGUACAAGGCCUCGUGUCAUUUUCACCUACUUUUCCAGAGAUCUUGGUGUCAUUUGCAGUGUUUUAUAAUGUGAAUUAUAAUACUGUACGGUAUUCUCAUCUAUAUCACUGAUUGAUAUGACCAAAAGGAUUGGUCCUAAUAAUAUUCACUCGUCUAUCAAAAUCUCAUGGUAUUGCACUGUUUUUUUAAACUACUGAACAUUUUUUAUUAGUAGUCUAUGGCCUUCAUCACUAAGUAUCACAAUAUUUUAAGUCAUUUCAUAAAUGUAGCAAUUCAAAUAUAUUAGCCGCCUUAAUGUUUUACAUGAAGUGUUACCCCAUUGAACAGGUAAUUACCUAAUUAUAAGUUAUGCCUAAAAU